AGUAGUAGGUUAUAGUUAUGAAAUAUUAUUCAAGUUAUUUUAUAUCUGGUUUCCUAAAAGAUUUGAUUGGUUAUAUUGUUGUUAGGUCGGUAGGCAGGGAUUAGCUUGUUUAUUAUUUAUAUGCGUGAAUGGGGGUAAUUUUGUUUGUGGAGUUGAUAGUGCUUAUUUUUAAGGAGUUAUUAUAGAACAGUGAUUUUGUAUUAUUAUUUUACAGUUGUGUGGUUAUUAGGGUUACCUUAUUAAUUUUUUUUGGUGAAAUAAUGAUUGUAUUAGUAAAAUUUUGUUUAUUUUUAGCGGGGCUUUAAAAGUAGGUUGGAAGUUGGAAUUUAAAUUUUUGAUUGGGGCAGAUGAAUUCGGCAAAGUUAAUCUUUGACUGUUUAGCAAAAACAUUGUUUUUUGUUGGGUUAAAAAGUAAGUUCUGUCCACUGCUAUUAGGUGAAGGGCUGCAGUAUUUUGACUGUAUGAAGGUAGCAUAAUCAUUAGCUUUUUAAUUGGGGGCUGGUAUGAAGGUGAAACAGGGAUUGUCUAUAUUUGUUCUAUCGAUUGAAUUUUAUGUUUGUGUGAAAAAUCAUAAUUGAAUUAGAGGGACAAGAAGACCCUAAUAAGUUUUAUUUUUUUAUUUUAUGAUAGUAUAGGUAUUAUUUAUUUGACUGGAGUAGAGGGGUUUGGCUGGGGCGGCUGUUUAUUAAACAUAAACAAAUUUUUAACUUUAUUUGGCGGAUUAUGAGACCUAA
rnacentral:rRNA from 1 species